AUUACCUCCUAUUUUACUAUUUUUACAGAUGUUAAGGAAUUAAGAUGAUACAAGAUGUGAAUGGAAGAGUGAUUAGAAGCAGAAUCUCCAUACUUUUAUUUUAGGUUGAAAGUCUUAUUGAAUUUGAUGUAAGGCCUAUAAAACUUUGUUGACUUUAUUGAGAUAUUAAAGCUAAAAUUUGGAUUGUUAUAUUUUUUAUCUAAAUUAUUGACUAAUUAUUCCACUGUGAAGCAUUGAUAUCAUGAUAAGAU
rnacentral:lncRNA from 1 species